GUGAGAGACCUAGAACUAUUCUAGGUUUUUGGGUGAGGGAAAAACAAAAGAGAAGAGAGUCUUCAUCUAUUUUUCUCUAUCAUCCAGCAUCCUCCUCUGAUCCAUCUUCAACAUUAAAAAGGUCUGAGGUGAUCGAAGAAGGAGAUCAAGUCAGAUCUGCCAUCAGAAGCUGACUACGUGAGCAAGCACUCCCGCAGAGGACUGAUCGGUCCGAGAGCUUCGUGUGGAGAAUCCGAAGAGGCCGGACGC
rnacentral:lncRNA from 1 species